UCUUCACACUACUGGCAGAUUAGUGCACUCAACACCUUUCACAGCAGACGGUUAUGACUGGUCUCCCCUCAGACGGAAAAGCCAGUCAGGCAAGGCUGUUCCGAACCCGGACACCUCUUCAAACAGGAUACAGUGGUGGACAGAAAAUGAGAUUUGAAGUGAAAGAGGAGAGAAAGGACACAAUUGUCUCUACAGCCCCCUUCUCCUUCCCUGUGACAGCCCUGCGCGCCUCUGGCGAAAGAGAAAGGAAAGUGAUUUAGAGAGAGAGUGCGAGCGAGUGAGAGGAACGCAGUUUCGCUGUGCAGCUGCUCCUCUGGAUGAUUUUGGAUUACAUCAGCAGCCGAGAAGAAAGGAGGGAAGGAGGGAUCGAAAAAGGGGGCACAGGGAGAAGGGUGUGAGGCACACUCCACAAAUCAGGGCUCCUUUCUGAAGGGAGCAAGAGAUUGCUCCGGAGUUCCUCUUGACAGAGCUAUCAUUGUUAGCAGGCUGAAGUGGCUGAAGACAGCGAUGAAUAGUGAUGUGGACUGUGCCCCCCCCCCCCCCCCCCCCCCCCGCAACCCCACCACUGCACCCCAUUCCACCGCCUCUGAGUUAUCUCUGUAGGCUGGGUUUGUGAGCAGCAUACAAUCACAUUCCUCAGGACUGUCUCUAUUUCUCCUCUAGGAUUAAUAGAUUCACAUGUUUGAGGGAGAGGGAGAGAAAUGUAUUAAAAGGUCAACAUUGGAAGGGAUGAUGGAAAUGAAUCAGUAUCCUAGACGAGUAAACGUUACAUAAUAUCUUGUGGACAGACAGAGACCACGUAAAACAUCUGACCAAAUUCUGUGAGAUUUGAGUUCUGGGUUAACCGAGUUUAGUGGUUCCAUUGCUGUUAUUUCUACCAUGUUCUCCGGUGCUCUCAUGGUAGUGCUGGUGGUCCUGAUUCUCUUUAGGAGGAUCAUAUGGCAUACUGUCUGCCUUGUUAUCGGGGACAAGAUGCUUAACAGACCUGCUAAGACCAGAGCAGCCACACCGGUUCUUCAUCAUAUUAAUAAUAAUAAUAGGCAGUUGAGCCAUGAUGAGGAGGAGGAUUUGUUCCCAUAACUACUAUGGCUUUCAAUUUCAUUCACUGACUAUUUGUAUGUGGAUAUUCUGUGUAUUCUCACAGUGACAAUAAUAAAGAAAUAAACGUC